UACGUAGGGUGCAAGCGUUAAUCGGAAUUACUGGGCGUAAAGCGUGCGCAGGCGGUUAUGCAAGACAGAUGUGAAAUCCCCGGGCUCAACCUGGGAACUGCAUUUGUGACUGCAUGGCUGGAGUGCGGCAGAGGGGGAUGGAAUUCCGCGUGUAGCAGUGAAAUGCGUAGAUAUGCGGAAGAACACCCGUGGCGAAGGCGGCCAGCUGGGCCGUCCCUGACACUGAGGCGCGAAGGCGUGGGGAGCGAACGGG
rnacentral:rRNA from 1 species